UACGGAGGAUGCGAGCGUUAUCCGGAUUUAUUGGGUUUAAAGGGUGCGUAGGCGGAAUAUCAAGUCAGCGGUAAAAAUUCGGGGCUCAACCCCGUCGUGCCGUUGAAACUGAUGUUCUUGAGUGGGCGAGAAGUAUGCGGAAUGCGUGGUGUAGCGGUGAAAUGCAUAGAUAUAACUUAGAACACCGAUAGCGAAGGCAGCUUACCAGACUGAGUCUGACGCUGAUGCACGAGAGCAUGGGUAGCGAACAGG
rnacentral:rRNA from 1 species